GAUGAACGCUGGCGGCGUGCCUAACACAUGCAAGUCGAGCGAUUCUCUUCGGAGAAGAGCGGCGGACGGGUGAGUAACGCGUGGGUAACCUGCCCUGUACACACGGAUAACAUACCGAAAGGUAUGCUAAUACGAGAUAAUAUGCUUUUAUCGCAUGGUAGAAGUAUCAAAGCUUUUGCGGUACAGGAUGGACCCGCGUCUGAUUAGCUAGUUGGUAAGGUAAUGGCUUACCAAGGCGACGAUCAGUAGCCGACCUGAGAGGGUGAUCGGCCACAUUGGAACUGAGACACGGUCCAAACUCCUACGGGAGGCAGCAGUGGGGAAUAUUGCACAAUGGGCGAAAGCCUGAUGCAGCAACGCCGCGUGAGCGAUGAAGGCCUUCGGGUCGUAAAGCUCUGUCCUCAAGGAAGAUAAUGACGGUACUUGAGGAGGAAGCCCCGGCUAACUACGUGCCAGCCGCCGCCGUAA
rnacentral:rRNA from 1 species